GCAAUGAGCCAACGUGGGUAGGGCUCAACUGAAAAAAACUGCGUACCCACGGAUGCCAUUUGCAUAAAUCUCUCAGACAAGCAUACCGCCCAAGUGUCCAGUGUCCAUCCCAAGGAAUUCAUGGAGUCACGAAACGACGCGGACGCCAUCUUCCGCGAUAGCCGUUUCUGAAACAGACGUCCAUCGUUUUCAAAUCCGCCCACACCCCCCCAUUUUUCCGCAUACAUAGCUCUCUAAAUAACCCCCAUCCAAACGUCAGGAAAUAAAUAGAUCAUGACUGCUGAAAGCAUACCUUACGCAUUACGUUCAACCCAUCGCUCCAUUGGAAACGGAAACUACAAGAGCACAACAUAAGAAACAGCGACCCUGGAGAUUCUCUCAUACCAUGGGCCCACACAGCGCCAUGCUCAAUAACUCAGUAAAACAGUCUGCAUGUCGGGUUUUCCAUG
rnacentral:sRNA from 2 species